rnacentral:tRNA from 1 species
AGCAGUGUAGCACAGUGGGUAAGGAAUUGGACUUGUAACCGAAAGGUCAUAGGUUUGAUUCCUGGGCGCUGUAG